UCCGGAAUAUUUUUUUUCAAGAUAAACAAAAUUGAUUCGGCCACAAAAUCACAGAAGCCACCAAUCUAGUUACAUACUAAAGAUAAUUAAUAGCUUUUGUCAGACACUAGUUCUAUAUAAAUAUUAAAUAAUAAAUCUACCUAGUACAUUAAAGUAAAUAAAACAGACUUAUAAUCUCACGAUGUUUAUACUCGAUACUCGAUUGUAUUGGAACUGCGGUGGAAAGAUCAGCAAUUGGCAGCAAACAAUUAGCAAGAAGCGCACAGCCCGUUGCAGUAAAGUAAGUUUCCCAGUGAUAAUGGGGUGGAGGAAUGCAAUUAACAAUGUCAAUAUCUAUUUCAAAGAGCUCUUCUUCUCCUUCCUCUUCACUGUCUGCCACCGCCACCGGACCUGAUUUGCUGGCUUCUACAGGUUGUGCUGCGCCUUCGAUUAUAGCAGAAGCCAUUCUUCUUUCCGUGCUUGCCAUGGAGCUUUGAAAUUACGUUAAGAGCAAGUAGGAGGAUAAGUAUGUAAGGUCCUUCCUAUAUAUAUUUUUGAAGGUUCUUGCGUGCGUGGUGAGGAGCAGGCAGUGGCAGGUGGUAAGUAGAACGGUCUUCAACAAAUCUACAGCAAUCGAACUAUUGUUUCAAAGCACUAGAUAAUUCCGCUGCAGCAAUUCCACCAAAUCAGACAUGCUGACAUAUGCAUUUUGUCAUUAAUUUGGUUUGUCAAGAUAACAUGAUUUGUGAUUGUUUUUGUAUUAUACUAACUUAUUUUUUAAAUUAUUUUUCAUUUAAAAAUAUAAUAAAAAACAAUUUUCUAUGAAGUUUUUUAUGGUGUUUGAUGAGCCAAUGUGUUAAUAUUAAAAAUUAAAAAAAAUAUUAUGUUGAUGUAUUUUCAAUUAAAAAAUAUCAUAUACUAUAAUUUCAAACACACACUUAUUAGAUAUUAAAGUGAUUAUAAAAACUUUAUUAACUGAGAAUAAAAUAUCAUAUUUAAAGAUGAAAACUAAAAAAAUUAAUACUAUUUGUUGCACCUUGGUGGACGUUGCGAUAGGACCUAAAAUAUACAUCAUGGAAAAAUAAGAGUUGUUACCUAAUAAUUAAAGGAAACUGAGGGUCUUAAAGAUAAACACCAAUUCUAGAGAUUCAUGCAAGGGGUUAGUUAUGCUAAAGAAAAGAAUGGUGAUGCCCUUACAGUAUUCUUUCUUACGAAAAAAUAUCUUUACCAGGUGUUUUCUUUUAAAUUUGUUGUUUUUAUUGCCAUUAAUUAUCCUAAUUAUUUUUAGCUCAUUUUUAAUUUUUUUUAUUUUAUGAAAAAAUUGAUAUUAAUCCCUAAAAAUAAAAAAAACUCUUUAAUUUAGUUAUUCUUAAAAGAUAAAUCUUAACGUUUGUCCCUUCUAAAAUGAGUCUUAUUGUUUUUUUUUUAAUUUGUCAUUGAACCCCUUAAAAAAAGAUUUGUUUAUUACAAGAUUUUGUCAUCGGUCUCAUGCAAAAUGAGACAUGUAGAAAAAGGACAUUUAUCUCUAAAAAAAGAGAUUACAAUGAAGUUGUUAAACAAAGGUAGUGGGUCUGUAUUGAUGGUGAUAAUUAGGUGAUAAUUAGGCCUUGAACCAUAUCGAUGAUGAGAAUUAAACUUUUUAAAUUCAGGUAUGUUAGUUUAAUGGGUCCUUUGAUUUUGACCCGUGAAUUUAAUAAAUUUGGCAUUAAAUACAAAUAUACAUGCAUAAAUAUUUUUUUAAAAGAACAUUCUUAUUCAAAAGCUAACACAAUAUAAAAAAUUUGGAUUUUUAUGCUAAGACAAUUUUUUUAUCAGAGUGCUAAAACGUAAAAAGUAUUUUUGACCUUUUUUUUUUAUUUUAACAAAUAAGCUAGAAAGGUGAAUGCUUUUUUUUACAAUGCUAGAAUAUGCAAAACAAUGAUUUUUAGAAAGGACUUGGACAUAAAAAAAAAUAUCAUGUAUUAUUUUUUUCUCAAAGCCUACAACUAGAUUAUGAUUUCGGGCCAAAAUAUUAUACAAUAUACUAAAAAGGAUUAGUGCCUCUAUUACUGUUUACCUAGACACAAAGCAUUGUAGAUUGGAGCAGUGUAAUGACAAACCAGCCCUUGCCACAGAGAGUUUCAAGGACAGCGUGGGAGAUGUGAGGUUGUCUUUUUGUUGGGAUGCAUUUGGUAUUGAAAGGAUAGUUGGAGAGAAAAUGGUCAACUCAAGUUUUGGUAGGGCUAGGGGCCCUGGGAUACGGACACCUAGCGUUGGGACUGAGGUUGACAUGCCUUGGGUGUGAGCAAAACCCACGCCCCCCGUGGAGACACGUGGUGCUUGGGUUGCCCUGCCUGUGCGCAGGGUAGACCCGCGCGUACACGUGGUGCUUGGACUGGCUUGCCCUGGACGCUAACCAGACCACGCUCCACAUGGGUCUGGACAAGGCCCAAUCCCUAACCUCCUUGUAUCCGGCCACGGACCCAUCCCCCAACUCCCUUGGGUUCGGCCAACAACCCCAACUCGCUCAGGUCCGGACAUGAACCCAAAUCAUCCCCGAACCUCCUUGGGUCCGGGCACAGACCCAAGCCCCCAAACCCCUUGGGUCCGGACUCGAUACCAAACCCUAACCAUCCUGGGUCCGGCCACGGACCCAACCCCCAACCCCUUUAGGUCCGGACUUGGUAUCAAACCCUAACCACCUUGGGUCCUGCUACAGCCCAACCCGCAACCCCCACUUUGAAUUAUAAUAAAAUAAUAAUAUUAGUAUUAUUUGUGUUAUAAAUAUUAUUAUUUUUAUUAUAAUUAAUAGUAUGAAUAUUAAAUAUAUCAUUAUUUGUAUUAUUAAUAUUAUUAGUUUUAUUAUAAUUAUUAUAAUUAAUAAAAUAAUUAAUAAAUUUGAAAAAAUAUUAUUAUUAAUACUGAAAAAUUACAAUUUUUUGUAUUAUAAAAUUUCAUGGUAUUUUUUCAUGAAAAUAAAAAAUAUGUCCGCCGCGCGGACACCCAACUAUUGCAUACUAUUUUACAACGCCAAGAGGAACUCAUAUUCCUGCCUAAAUUUUGGGUGCACAAGUGUAUGCCAGCCUAAACUUCCUUUUAAAACCACAAACACAAGUCCUAUAUAUAUAUAUAUAUAUAUAAUCCACGCAUGUAUUUAUUUUUUAAACUUUGGCUGGAGACUUCGAUUUAAAAAGAAAGCUUUGAAACGCCAGUUCCAGACAAAUACUUCACAAAACAAACUCCAAUUUCGAAACAAAUGCAGACUUUAAAGGAAAGAAACUGCCACUUCUUAUCUUAUUUUACUUGGGUCAAAAUUGAAAACAUUGACUUAAACAUGUUAGGAUAAUCCUCAUAAUGCAGACUUCAAGUAUAUGAUACAGGGUCUAUUUAAGAACAAUUUCGGGGUUUCAAAGGGAGGUCCAAUGUCAGUUGAUCAUGUUUUCUUAGAAUAAAAAAUAUGCAAUCAUGGACAAUAUUAAUUAACAAUAAGCAUGGGUGUCAAAGUGAUUUCUCAUUAUGCUAAUGUUGGGUUCCAGAAUAUUAUACACGCAACGAAAAUAAUAAAACAAAAUUAUUUGAGAGUCUCUAAGAUCUCGUUAGACAAAUCUAAAGUUGUUUAGAGAUUUAUUACCUGAAAACCUAAUUUUUUUCGGUUUUAAAUAACUUUUUAAAAGCCGAGUUGUCAUAAAUCACAAGUCGUCCAAUUUUCCGGCCUUCAACGGUAAAUCUCCUAAAUCUCUAUUUAGGAGAAAGGAAUUGUUAUGCCUAAAGUGCUAGCUAUCUAUUCUGUGACUUACGUAGUUUUUUUAUCUAACAUCCAACAACCUUCAAAUAAGAGGCAUAACUUACUAUUUAUAGAGAAAUAUAAAAUACUUUAUAAAUUAGCAAAAUAUCAAUUUGUCAUAUGAAUAAUAUUCAUAUAUUAAUUCGAGAUAAUUUUAGAAAUUAACUCAAUCAAAUCCUUGAUUUUUUUAUGUCUAGAAAUAUAAUCUAUGUAUUAAUUAUAUUAUAAUCCUUAAUUUCUAAAAUAUAUUUUAAUUAAGUUAUACUUAAUUAAAUCAUCUCAAUUUAAUUUCUGACUAAUGGUUCUUAAUGUGAAUAACUCAUUAGGUUUCUAAUAUGUUAGCCUAAAUAUAAAUUAUAAUUCUAAUGCAAUCGAAUUAAAUAAAUUAAAUAAUUUAAUUUAUUAUCAACUCAACAAUUGAUUAAUUUAUAUUUGAAGAUCAGGUGCAUCGUUUAGCAACGUGUCAUGAUACCCUAAAUAUUAGAAAAGUUAUUAGUGGUUUAACUUAACCUUUCAGUGACAGAUUUCUUAGUGUAAUUAAUAUCAUUUCAUCAAUAAUAUUUUGAUUUAACAUUAAAGCAUGGAGCAUGUCUGCUAUGUUAAAUCAUGUUUGUUCUCUACAUAAUAGUCAUUUAUCGUUUGAAUAAGAUUUGAAACUUUUUUCAAAUCUCAUUCCACCUUAGCCAAGGAUUUCUCAGUCAAUACUAUUUGAGAAUAUAUGAUUUUUUUUUAAUUCACCUAGGGUGAUGAAUUCUCUCUUAAUUAUUCAAGUAUUUUCAUAUAGUUCAUAUUAUACUUAAUGCAUGCCCCUUCGUUACCUUAAUUAAGAUAACAUGUAACAGAAUCAAAACAUAAUAUUUUCUAUAUAAUAUAACUUAGUGAUCUCAAAUUCAAGGAUCACUUACACAAUCAUCAUGUAAACCUUUCCAUAAACAUAGAUGAUAUUUCCAUAUGGAAUUCUCAUAUGAAUUAGUUUAAUGAACAUGUCUUAUGACAAGCAUCUACAUAUUAUUUCUAGGUAUUUAUUAUACCUAAGCCUAUGAGAAUAACUACUUUUUUUUUAUAAAAGAAAAAACAUAAUAUAUAUUAGUCUUUACGACCCUAAUAAAUGUCCAGUAUUUAAGAGAACAUCGACUAGGAACAUUUUAGAAACAAUACUUUGAUGCAAUAGGAAUCCUAUAAUUAUAACAACUUUAUAAUUUUCUUUGCAUAUUAUUUUUGUCUCAUGGACUUUAUAUUUACUCUAGAUUCAUAAAUCAAGACUUUAUUAAUAUUAAAGAUAAAUUAAGACUUCGUUAAUAAUAAAUAUCUAUUUACAUGAAUAUAAUAAUGUCACGUGUAACCAACUGAUUGGCUACAAUAUAUAUUAAACUAGCUAACAGACUUAAAACCAUUAUUCAAUAAAAAAAACUUGCAAGUAUAUCAUGUUUCUUACAUAUUCAGGAUAAAAGACUUGAAAGAAUUCAUUCCACAAGACAGGAUUAAAACCAAGUUGAAGACAUAAAUUAACGGACAGAAAACAAAAAAACACAAAAUAGUUAUGGAAGCAAACCAAGAGCGAUAGUAAAAUUCUCCUUGACUGGUUUGGAGAAUACUUUCAUUGGCUACAAGCCUUACACCAUGUGCUACAAUCAGAAUGAUUCUGCCUUCUCCUUGUUUUCUUUGAAUGUCUCCUUUUUAAAAAAAAAAUUAUGUCUUAUCUCCCCUUCUUUGUAAUAUUUUUUUUCUUUUUGCUUCUUUUCUCUUUCCCCCUUCUGUGCUUUCUUUCUGUCCCCCUUUGCUUGGACUUGUUGCUACCUUUUUAUCAGCGAGUAACAAUCUUUUUUGGAAAGGAAAUAAUCAUCAUUUUUUUAAGGAUUGAUUCUUGAAAUUAAAUGUUGACCAUCAAUAUUUCGUUCCUUGAUUUCUGGAGAGAGGAUCAAAGUUUGAGAUCUGAAUUUUGCAUCAAAAUGGAAAGGCUGGGCUGCUGGUCUUGAAGAAAGGCUGACUGAGGGGGCAUGUUUGGCUUAAAAUCUAUAGUGGAUCUUGAGAGUUAAAUCCUGAUUUCUUGUGUCAGGAUUAUAACUGGCAUAUUAGAAGACACGUUUCUUUUGUUUCUGUGCCACCGAGAGAUUCAAUUUGGACCAUGAUCAAGCCCUUAUAUGGUGUAAGAAGCAGUCGUUUCUGCCUUUCUAUUUCCCUGGAAAUCUGCAAAAGCCAUUAUCAAAAUGGAGUCGUUUCCUUCCUAUAUUCAUCAGUCUGUUUUUCCCUAUUUACUCAAAACGUAUUGUUUCAUUUAAUGUGAAAUUACGUCGUUUUGAGUCUUAAUUAGGGUCUUUCCAAUUCAAUCGGGCCAAACUUCAUAUAAGCCCCCUACAUUUCAACACCUUUUGCGUUUUAGUUCUUGGUAUUUGAAUCUUUUUUAAUUCGAUUCUUCAUUUUUAAGAUAAAUUGACUUUCAAUUUCAAUUUUUUCUUCAAUUAAGCCAUUAACUGAUUUUCUAACUUGGCUAAUUGUUUCAACUCAUCCUUGAACUUCAAUUUCUUUCAAUUUUAGUUAUAUUAAACUAGUCUUCUAUUUUCUUCCUCUAUUUUCUUUCAACAAUAGUCUCUUUGUCUUCUUUCCCGAUGAGAAAUAAAUCAACUUUUCCCUUCUUCCCUAAUUCCUCUGCAUCCUUUCCCUUUAUUUUCUUCUUCCAUCUCACCUCCUUUACUCUGUGAUAAAAAAAAAAUCUUAACUUGGCGAGUCUAAUCCCCCCAUUAGCUCUCUGACAUAUUUGUCAGACCCUCACUACCUUAUUUUCUUGGGUAUGCCAAGGGCGGAUGGUCAUUCUCUUGGGCGUUCCAAGGGAGGAUGCGCAUUCACAUGGGCGUGCCGGGGGCUUGACAUGCUGUGAAGCCCAAUCAAGGCUGGGUUUGACUAGUGCGAAACCCAGCAUUCUUAGGGCUUGGCGCACUGCCAAACCCAAUUGUGUCUGGGUCUGGAUUGCACUAGACCCAACAUGCCCUUGACUUGGGACAUUGCCGAGCUCCCGCGUGGCUGGGCUUGAUACACUACCAAACCCCCACUUGAGGUAUGCUCAUUCCUUUAAGCAUGUCCAAGAGAUAAGGAUGAUAGGGGUUUUUUAGACCAAUUAAAAAUAAGUUUAUCACCUAGGAUCUUGCUUCCCACAAUUUGUAGGGUACAUAAACAUCCACGUUUCAUCAUUCUCCAUGCCAUCGAAAAAUGGAUGCCCAUAAUCAUUCCAACAAACCUCACACCAGGUAACCCAGACGACCCAAUUUGACUGCCAAGAAAUUGGACAUGUUAGCUCCACCACUAUCUCCACCCAUGAAAAAUCGACUAAAAUCCGUGUGGUUAUUCAACCACGGCUCAGACCCAUUUCCUUUGACAUGUGAUGCUUUAGCCAUUAAAGCCCUACCCUAGAAUCUAUAUAACUUCCGGGUUUGGGCCUCUCUGGCCAUAGCUCGUAUUCAAGCGAUACAGUAAGGACAUUGGAUUCAGCAACCAGUGCCAAUAAAUGGCUGUGAAAAAGUGGUGAGAAGGCAGACUCAAAGCAAAAGCCGCCACCAUUCAUGUAGUAGAGGACUGAUACUUUUUUUUUCUACUGUAAAAAAAUGUGUUUCUAAGCAACCAGUUUUUCUAAACAAACUUAAAUGUUUAGCCAUUUUAAACCAAAUUAGGAUCAUAUUGACCAAAUUCGAUUCACAUAUUACCGGUAAUCUAAUUAAAUUAUUAGGAUCAUAUUGUAAACAUUGAAACCGAGAUAAUCAUUAAGACAAUAUAAAAUAAUGUUGAUAAAAGAUAAUCAACCGCCAAACCUACUUUUGUCCGGUAGUGAACGGUGGAGAGGACGACACAAGUCCAUGAUUGUUGAGUGAUAAAAAAACAAACAUCCAAACACCAACUUUUGAGAUGAAUCUUUUUUAUUUUUUUGACUCGAUUUAGGAUGUGUACGACGAGUACACGCAAGUUGAAUAUUUUUUUCAAUUUAAAAAAAUCUAAAAAUAUUAAAAAAUUAAAAAUUUAAUUAUAUUGAUCAUAAUAUUUUAUAAAUACUUAUGCGGUGAUAUAUGUUUUUAUUUUUCAAAAAACUAUAUUAAAAUAAUAAUACUUUUUAUUGGAUUAUUUCGAUUAAAAUAAAAUCAUAAAAUUUAUAUCCAAACUGAAUAGAAAAACCAAUCAUAAAUGACCAAAUAUUUAAGGCUAUAAGUUGAAAAAAAAUCCAUAAAAAAAAAAAAUUACCGAAGCAAACCUAUAUUGUAGAGCUGCUGUUAAGUGAAGUUUAUUAAAUUCCUCACCAUAUAUGAGAUCAUGUGUAGUUGUGUGCCCUUAAGAUCAUCAAAUAAAAGAUUUAAUCUUCUUUUCAGGUGGAUUUGAUCACUUGGUAUGUUUGUCAAUUAGUUGUUUUACAAUGCUGAUGCCUAAACAAAGUUAUAUAAAAUCUGUUUGGAAAUACAGUGUAAAUUGUAUUUUUUUAAAUUUUGAUUUUGAUUUUAUUUUUAUUAAAAAUUAAUUUUUUUAUAUUUUCAGAUCGUUUUGAUGUGUUAAUUUUAAAAAUAAUUUUUAAAAAAUAAAAAAAUAACAUGAUUUUAAUGUAUUUAUAUAUAAAAAAUACUUUGAACCGUAACUGAUACCAUAAUUCCAAACAUGCUCAAAAACUAAAAAGAAAAAACAGUGAAUUUAAUAUAUCAUCCUCUGAUUUAGCAGAUCUAACGGGAUAGGCAAAACAAUAGCUACAAUCCAUUUUCUUUCACUAAAAUGCUAUUCGUACUAAACCGUUUGGGAACACGGUUCAAAUCAUGUUUCUAAAAAAUUCAAAAAUAUUUUUUUUGCUAAAAUUUAAUAUGGUUUGUAUGUUUUGAAUCGUUUUGAUGUGUUGAUGUUAAAAAUAAUUUUAAAAAAAUAAAAAAAUAUCAUUUGCAUGCAUUUCGACAAGAAAAGUUAUUUGAAAAACAAUCGCUACCACAUUACCAAACAUAUUCUACGUAUCGCUGAAAAAAAAAAAGUAAAGACUGAAACAAUGGCCAUCGCUUCCCUCUUCAACAGCCGAGCAAGAACAAGUUAAGCCUUCCCUUCUCAAAGCCAUGCUCGAUCUCUCUAUAAUAAUUCCUUCUCUUUUCUUGUUUUGCUGUUCUUUCUUGACAUUGAAAAGAAAAGAAGUUAAUUUCCUACCCAUUUGUUCUAUCUCUAUGAAAUGCUUAUUCUCUUCAGAUUCCAAAAUUCUUCUCUUGGUAUAGUGCUUCUCUCUUUGUAUGUAUUUAUAAUAGUAAUUAAUUUUUGUUUAAAAAUAUAUUAAAAUAAUAUUUUUUAAAAUAUUUAAAUUUUUUUAUAUCAAUAUAUUAAAAAAAUUCAAAAAUAUUAAAAAAAAAUUUAAACAAAAAAAAAUUAAUUUUUUUGAAAACGAUAUUUCUAAAAAAAGAAAAAAGUAUUAGCGAGGGACAAGAAUGAAGCGUAUGCAUACUCUUAUUUUAGGGUGUUUCCUUGUAAUUUUAACAUGAUACGCGCAUUUUAUAACAUCACACAACUUACUUUUCAAUCAUUAACGUUAAUUUUUUUUGUAGGGUUAGUAAAUUGAAAAAACGAAAAGGAAAAAAGGAGGUGUAAAAACUAAUAAAAGUAAUGCAGACACGUUGAUAUUAUUUGAAAAAUUAUUUUUUUACUUGGAAAAGAAAAGGCAAAGAAAUCACGAGAUAGCAUAUAAGAAUGAGAAGCGAACAAAAAAAACCAAAAAACUGAUUAAACCGAGAAACCAGAGAAAAAAACUGAAAAAAAUCGAACCGUAAAAAAAAACCGAUUAUAAUUUUUAAAAAACCGACCGGUCUGGUUCGGUUUCGAUUUUAUAAGCCUGAAACUGAAAAAAUCGAGCCGAAUCGAACCUAAACCGAAAACAAACAGGAAAAAACCGAGCCAAACAAAAAAAAUAGCGCCUAACAGAGCCAAAACCGAUUUGAACUGGUUUUUUUUCAAAAUAACUGAACCGAACCGAAUCGAACCAAACCUAGUCGGUUUGAACCGGUUUUGGUUUUUUAAAAAAAACCGGUUUGGCUACCUUUUUUUUUUUAUAAAAAUCAAAGCAAACAAAAAAUGAUCACCCCUAAUAAGAAUAGAUACCAACCUAACAUGUAAUGAAGAAAAGAUAACUAAUUCAAAGGAAAAGAAAAUAAAAGAAAAGAAAAAAAGAGUAUCGAGUUGCAACCUAUAGCACAAUGGUACUUUGACGCAUUUAAAAGCAAACACCUAUUUAAUAUUGAUGUGCUUUUAAAUUACAACUGCCUUUUUGUUUUAAAAAUUAUGUUUUGUUAAGUUAUACUUUACUUUAAAAAUAAAAUACUUAUACUUUAAAUGUAAAUUAUUUUACUUAAAAAAAAAGCAACACAUUCACUAACUAAAAGUAAAACAAUUCAUCAUUAUACAAUUAAUUUGCUGUUUUUUAAAAUAAAAAUAUUUUUUCAAAAAAGUAUGGCAUUGUUUUACUAAUUUUACUUUCAUAUUAUUAUGAAAUAAAAACACAUCGAUAUAGUAAUACAAAUUAUAGAGGUAUCAGAGAAUAGUAAAUUGAGAUUUCCGCUAGAGUUUUUUAUCCCCAUCAUGGUGAAUGUACACCACCUAAACACGAAGUCUAUUUUAAAAAAGAAACAUUUUUUUGUUGAAAGAGAACUAGUCGCUCACCCGGUUUAGUCAGCAAAAUACUAUUCCUAUUUAAAUUAAUAUUUUCUUUUGUUAGUUUAAUUCCUUGAUUGUCUAAGACUUUAUGCAUAUAAAAAGACUUGUAAUUCAACAUUAUUCAGAAGUACAAAAAGAGAAAGAAUAACUAAAAGAGUUUAGAGAUAAACAUUUAAUAAAAGUAUAUCUUCCUUUCAAUCUUCUUCUUGUUCUUGAGUUUUUGACUUUGCAUUACUGUUUUUGAUCUUAUACCACACCUAUCUUCCUUCCAACAAGUGGUAUCAAAGCUUAGAUUUGAUAAUUUGACAUAUUCAAUCCAAACUUCUCGUUUAAUGUCCUAGGUUGACAAAAGAUAACUAUGAAACUUGGUAUAUUCAAGUAAAAGCUUGGCUAGGUUCCCAAGAUGUAUGAGAGAUGAUUGAAAAAGACUUUGAGGAGCCUAUAGAUGGACCAACGUUGACUUCAUCCCAAAGGAAAGCUGUGCAAAAAGCACGAAAGAAGGAUCAACAAGCAUUCACAAUCAUCCACCAAUGUCUAGAUGAUGUCACUUUUAAGAUAGUGGCCAAUGCAACCACCGCCAAGCAAGCAUGAGAAGUUUUGCAAGAAUUAAACUAAGGAGCUGGAAUGUGAGAAAAGUACUUCUAUAAAAGCUAUGUGGUGAUUUUGAAAAGUUAUAUAUGCUUGAAUCAAAAAAUAUUUUAAAAUACUUUGUAAGAGUAUUGACUAUAUACAAUCAAAUAAAGAGAUAUUGGGAGAAGAUGAAUGAGACAUGUGUGGUAGAGAAGAUCCUACGCUCGUUGUAAAACAUGGAUUUUCUUUCAAUCCAAGGUCUCAUGGGAAAAUACAAGCUCAUGAGAAAAAAAUCAAUAACAUUUAAGAAAAUAUGGGUAUACAAACACUUUUUUUCAAAGCAAGAUGGUUAUGGAUAUUCAUAAGGGGGUAAAGGACGUGGCAAAGCAAAUGAAGAGGAGGUCAUGGUAGCCUUAAUAGGUCAAUCGGUCAACCGCAUGAAGCAAACCCGUCGACCGGUUACACUGUCAGUGACAAUCUAAAAUCUAGAUUUGACAAAUUUAAAGUUAAAUGUUAUAAUUGUCAAAAGGUUAGCCAUUAUGCUAGGGAUUGUUGGAGUCCAACAAAAAAGGUUGGAAAGAAUGCAAAUCUAGUGAUAGAAGAAGAGAAGAAAGACACCUUACUACUAGUGAUGUAAAACAAAAAGAGAAUAUGGUAUCAAGACAAUGGAGCUAGCAAACGUAUGUAUGGAGACAAAGAUAGGUUCAUGGAGCUUGAUGAAACAAUUAGAGAUAAUGUCACCUUCGUAGAUCAUUUAAAGGUUGUCAUCAAAGGAAAAUAUAUGAUUUUGAUUAAAUUAAAAGAUGAUCUUUGUGGGUUAUGAUCAAAAGUUCAAAGGAUGCAAGCUUUACAACCCUAAUAAAGAAAAGAUGAUGAUUAAUAGAGAUGUAGAAUUCAAUGAAGAAGGAGCAUGGGAUUGGAAGGUAGAUGAUGGUGAGAAAUAUGACUUCCUACCGAUUCUCAAUGAAGAGGAUGAAAUAUAUGAAGAUCAUCAAGAAUCUAUAGUUACACCUCCACAAACACUAAUGAGCUCAACUUCUCUUUCUUCUUUUUCCUCUUUUUCUAGUGGAAGCUCAAGUAGUGGAACUUCACCAAGAAAAAUGAGGAGCCUUGAUGACUUAUAGAAAGUAAUUAAUCUAAUUGAUGAUGAUAUAACACUAUAUUGUCAUCUUACUACAUGGGAUCCUGUAAUGUUUGAAGAAGUAAUAAAGGAUGCAAAAUGAAGAAUUGAUAUGGAUCAAGAGAUUGCAUUAAUUGAGAAGAAUGACACAUAAAGAUGAGUUCGUAGACCAAAUAGAAAGAAGCCAAUAGGUGUCAAGUGGAUCUACAAAGAAAAAAAGAAUGCCAAAAAAGAGUUGGAGAGAUACAAAGCAAGAUUAGUGGUAAAAGGUUAUAAUUAAAAGCAUGGGAUUGACUAUGAUGAAGUAUUUGCUCUCAUUGCUAGAUUAGAAACUAUUCAAUUAAUUAUUGCCACUGUUGCCCAAUAUAGAUUGAGAAUAUAUAAAAUAGAUGUCAAAUCAACCUUUCUUAAUGGUUUUUCUUGAAAAGGGGGUCUAUAUUGAGCAACCUAUGGGAUAUGAAGUGAAGGGACAUGAAGACAAGGUAUUAAAGUUAAACAAAGCCUUGUAUCGAUUGAAGUAAACCCCUAAGGUUUGGUAUAGUCAUAUUGAUGGCUAUUUUUUAAAGAAUGGAUUUGUUAAAUGCUCCCAUGAAUAUGUUAUCCAUAUAAAGAUCAAAUAAAGUGGUGAUACUCUUAUUGUAUGUUUGUAUGUAGAUGACUUGAUCUUUACAGGAAAUAAUCCAAAGAUAUUUAAAGACUUCAAACAAGCAAUGAUCAAGGAGUUUAAUAUGACAUAUAUUGGUCUUUUAUCCUAUUACUUAGGGAUUGAAAUCAAACAAUGAGAAAAUAUAAUCUUUAUGAAUUAAUAGAAGUUUGAAAGGGAUGUUCUCAAGAAGUUUAAGAUGUCAAAGAAUGAUGAAAGAGAGAAGAUAGACUCUAUAAUAUUCAAGAGCUUAGUUUGGAGUUUGAGAGUUUUAACAAACACUCGUCCAAAUAUUAUUUUUAGAGUAGGACUUAUGAGUAGAUUUUUGGAGACACCAAAAUAUUAAAGCGAAUUCUUCGGUAUAUUAAAGGUACUAUUGAUUUUGACUUAUUCUAUGGUUAUUCUAAUUGCUUUGAGCUUGUGGGUUAUAAUGAUAAUGAUUGGGCUGAGGAUAUGAAUGAUAAAAAAAGCAUUACGGGUUUUUUUUUCUAUAUGGGAGACACAUCAUUCACGUGGAGUUCAAAGAAGUAAUUCAUAGUCACUUUGUCAACAUGUGAAGUUGAAUAUAUAGCUACCACAUCAUGUGUUUGUCAUUCCAUGUGAUUAAAGAGAUUAUUGAAGGAAUUGUGAAUGACACAAGAGAAACAUACUGAAAUUUAUGUGGACAACUCAUCAAUCAUUGCAUUAACAAUCCAUUAUUUCAUGAUAGAAGUAAGCAUAUUGACACAAGAUUUCAUUACCUAUGAGAUUGCAUUGCAAACAAGAAAGUUGAAGUUAAGUAUGUGAAGAUAAAAGAUCAAGCUGCAGAUAUAUUCAUAAAACCACUCAAAUAUGAUGUAUUUAUUAAGAUGAGAGAUUUGUUAGGAGUUAUGAAGAGAGAGAUGUUGAAAGUAAACUAGAUUUCAAUUCUAAAAAAUAGAGGUACUAGUCAACUGGCUGGAAUAAGUUGAACAGGUUGACUGGUUUAGUCGGUAGAAUACUAUUCCUAUUCAAAAUAGGAUUUCCUUGUAUUAAUUUAAUUCAUUGAUUGUCUAGAAUUUUAUGUCUAUAAAAAAACUUAUAAUUCAAUAUUAUUUAGAAGUACAAAAAGAAAAAAUAACUAAGAGAGUUUAGAAAUAAAUAUUUAAUAAAAAUAUAUAUAUUUCUCUCAAUUUUCUUCUUUUCUUCUUGUUCUUGAAUUUUUUAUUUUACUGUUUUUAUCUUGGACCACAGUUAUCUUCCUUCCAACAACUUGUGCAUGAACUCCAAACUCUUCUCACUGUUGAAAUCACGCGAAAAGAAGCAAUGGCCUUCGUUUUCGUUCUCGACAAUUUCAACGUUUCCUUUCCACCCACUAUUCUUCAAUUUCUCGUAAUAGUUCUUUCCCACAACAUUCAAAUAGUCUUAAGAUCAGCACCCUCUCACAAAGAUCCUCCAAACCGGGAUUCAUCCUUGGAUCAUCCAAUCCACCAUUAUUUGUGCACAUUUACAACCACAUUUCAUCAUCUUCGGUGCCACCAAAAAAUGGAUGUGUCAUAAUAAUUCCAACUAAGUGCACUCCUGGUAACCCAAUUGACCCGACCCGGAAUGCAAGAGUAUGUGAAAUAUACCUCCAGCACUAUCUCCCCCCACAAAAAGUUCACCAAAAUCAGUAUGGUCACUCUGCCACAGCUCAGAGCCACUCCCAUCAGCAUGCGAAGCCACCCACUGGAGCGCCUUCCACGAGUCCUCGUAGCAUACAGGUAGAGGUCGGGCCGGGAAGAGACCAUAUUCCACAUAGACCACAAUAACGUUAGCCUCAGCAGCUAUUUAAUUUGUUGCACAAAACGUGGUAGGGAGCAUCGAAGGCAGAAAACAUUACAAAGCCACCCUCAUGAAUAUAAAGUAAGAGAGGGAAUUUUCGUCAGGGGUUUUGAGUUCUACCAAGAAGAUCAAGUGUAGACACUUGAGGUUCAGUUUGUUAAAGUAAUUCAGAUCAAACAUAAAAGGAGGCUAGAAUUCUCAAUGAUAUGUUUAUUAUGAGUGCUUAAGUUAACCUAAAUACAAAGGAAUUAUAUAUAGGUUAAACUGAAAAUACUAUUCUACCCUUAAUAAAUAAAACUAGAUAAAUAUUACUUAACAUCUCCCCUCAAACUCACGAUGCGACAUCUACAAGCAUCGAGAGUUUGCUAACUAGAAAACAAAAACGAGAUAUGAAAUGCGUCUUGGUAAAGAAAUCUGCAAUCUACAAGGAAGAAUGAACAAAAUGCAAAGUAAUGGUGCCAUGCUUGAGAUGAUGACGAGUAAGAUGACAAUCGAUCUCAAUGUGCUUAAUUCGCUCAUAAAAACCGAGUUGUGAGCAAUUUGAAUAGAACUCUGGUUGUCACAAUUCAUAGGAGUAGGAUGAGAAAAGAAAACUCUCAUAUCAGUAAGUAACCAACGUAACCAAACAAUCUCUUUGGUAGUAGAUGCCAUGACAGAAGCUGAAGGAAAGUUGAAAUACCAGAUUUUGCAGAAGCGGAAGACAAAAUAUCACUCCAAAUUUUUUUAUUUUUCUUGCAGAAAUUUAAUUCAAAUACCAAAUUGCAGAAACUGAAGAGAAGAAAAAAUACCAAAACAAUUGCAAAGACAGAACAGAAAUACCAAAUUGCAGAAGCUGAUACCAAAUUGCAGAAACUGAAGAGAAGACGAAAUACCAAAACAAUUGCAGAGACAGAACAGAAAUACCAAAUUGCAGAAGCUGAUACCAAAUUGCAGAAGCUGAAAAGAAGACGAAAUACCAAAACAAUUGCAGAGACAUAACAGAAAUACCAAAUUGCAGAAGCUGAAGAGAAGAUGAAAUACCAAAAUAAAUGCAGAGACAGACAGAAAUACCAAAUUGCAGAAGCUGAUGGACAGUCCAAAUACUAGAUUUUGCAGAAGCGGAAGACAAAAUAUUACUCUAAUUUUUAUUAUUAUUUUUUUUUUUUGUAGAAACUUAACUCAAAUACCAAAUUGCAGAAACUGAAGAGAAGACGAAAUACCAAAACAAUUGCAGAGACAGAAAAAAAAUACCAAAUUGCAGAAGCUGAUACCAAAUUGCAGAAACUGAAGAGAAGACGAAAUACCAAAACAAUUGCAGAGGCAGAACAGAAAUACCAAAUUGCAGAAGCUGAAGAAUCUAAAAUAAAGUUUCAGAUAUUAAUUCUUCAGCCGCAAGCACAAAACUUGAUCUUCAUCCUCCAUCUUUUAAUAGGUCAAACAACCCAUGUCUGAUGUUUUGAAAAAUGAAUCUGAAGUUAAGCUUCAAAGGAAUGCAUUGAGCGUGCUGGAACAUCCUACAGGGAAUGAAGUGGAUGAUGAUAACGAUUUUGAUACGAGCAGUGGCUCUAACAUUGGUGAACAUGAUUUCUACAAGGGCAGCGAGUUCCAUAAAAUUAAGUCAAGGGUUCGAUCAACUAGGCUCUGAUACCAUGUUAAAUUAAUUCAGAUCAAACAUAAAAGGAGGCUAGAAUUCUCAAUGAUAUGUUUAUUAUGAGUGCUUAAGUUAACCUAAAUACAAAGGAAUUAUAUAUAGGUUAAACUGAAAAUACUAUUCUAUCCUUAAUAAAUAAAACUAGAUAAAUAUUACUUAACACAGUUGAGAUGAUCACAUCCUUGGACUGGACCCCUGUAAUCAGAUCAUGGGACGGUGGCAUUUUCUGGAAUAAAUCCGACCACAAUAAUUCGACCCGACCAUCUUUGAAUACGUCGAAGACUGGGAAACUGGACUUGAUAACGCCAUUGCUCAGAGAGAGAAGCUUGACUUGUUGAAGAAGGGUUGAGGAGCAAGGAGGAGAAAAAAGUGUAUGUGUUGUCUACUUAUGGUUCAUUCAAGAUAUGCAUGCAGUAUACCCUCUAGUACAGGAGAAUUUUCGGCCAUCAAGUGAGGAAUGGCAAAGCUUUGUCGUCGCUUAGUGAUGCCAGAAUGAAUUAAUUGACAAUAAACUGAAAUUGCUCAGUGUUUUUCUGAGCUAGUUUACAGUGAAACGCUGAGUUUUUUUUUUCUGUUUUUUUUCUGUUUUUUUUGUUUUUUAUGUCUUUAUAGGUUUUUUUUUUUGCUUUUUUCUUUAUGUAUUUUUCUUUUAAUGAAUUUUUUUUGUUUAAUUUAGUUUGUUAAUGUGAAUUUUUUUAUUUAGUUAUCAGAUUUUCAUAACACGGAUCUCGGGUUUGACGGGUUAACCUGGUUUGACGAGUUAACCCGAAUUUUUUUUUCUUUUCUUUUAAAUUAAUAACAUAUACUAAAACUGUUCAAUGUUUCACUGUGCAGUCUACAGUGAAACGCUAAGCUGUUUUUAUUUUGUUUUAAAUUUUUUUUUGUUUAAUUUAUUUUAUUUUUUUGCUUUUUAUGCCUUUAUGGGUUUUUUUUUGCUUUUUUUCUGUGUUUUUUUUUAUGAAUUGUUUUUGUUUAAUUUAGUUUGUUAAUGUUAAAUUUUUUUUUUUUAGUUAUCAGACUUUCAUGACACGGAUUCCGGGUUUGACAGGUUAACCUGGUUUGACGAGUUAACCUGGAAUUUUUUUUUUGCUUUUUUUAAAGUUUGACGAGUUAACCCAGAAUUUGUUUUUUGCUUUUUUCUUUUUAAUUAAUUUUUUUUGUUUAGUUUAUUUUUUUAAUGUUAAAUUUCUUUCUAUUUAAUUAUCAGACUUUCAUGACACGUAUCCCGGGCUUGACGGGUUAACCCGUCAAUUUGUUUUUCUAUUUAGUUAUCAAACUUUCAUGACGCGAAUUCCAGGUUUAACGGGUUAACCUGGUUUGAAGGGUUAACCCAGUUAAUUCAUAUUUUUUUUCUUUUGCUUCAUUAGUUUUUUUCUUCCUAUUGGUUUUUUUUCUUUGUUUUUUUAAUUAAUCUAUUUAAUUAUCACAUUUUUAUGACACGACCUUGUAGCCAGACCCACAUUCAAGACUCUUGGAUCCGGUGUUGUAGCCAGACUCACUUAAACUUAAGUCAGGUAAGUUUAAUAUUAUUAAUAUUAUAAAUAUUACUCUUGGGUCAAGCGUUGCAGCAAAACCAAAGGCUCUUGGGCAUAUCUUUGUAGAAAGAUCUAACACUUUUAGAUCUUAGCCUUUUUUAUAUUUUUUAUGCAAGAAAAAAAAUUUAACCCGUGGCGUGUGCCUUUAUUUUUUUUUCUUUUCCUUUUUAAGCCUUUUACUGUGGAUUGCACAAUACAGUUCAUAGUGAAAAAGCUGAUGCCUUUAGUUUUUUUUUGUCUUUUUUUUAAUUAUUUUUUUAAUUUAGUUUCUUAAUAUUAAAUUUUUUCUAUUUAAUUAACAGACUUUCAUGACAUGGAUCCCAGGAUUGACGCGUUAACCCAGUUUAUUCAGAUUUUUUUCUUUUUCUUCAUUAGUUUUUUUCUUCCUGUAGGUUUUUUUUCUCUUUGCUUUUUCCUUUUUAAUUAAUCUUUUUUUAAUUUAUUUCAUUAAUAAUAAAUCAUUUUUCUAUUUAGUUAUCACACUUUCAUAACACGAAUUCCAGCUUUGACGGGUUAACCUGAUUUGACGGGUUAACCAGGUUGAUUCAGAUUUUUUUUCUUUUUCCUCAUUAGAUUUGUUCUUCUGAUUUCAUCUUUUAAUAUUGUAUACAGUCCACAGUGAAAAGGCUAAAACCUUUAGUUUUUUUUUUAUGCCUUUCACUGUGGACUGCACAGUGCAGUCCACGGUAAAAAGGCUGAUGCUUUUUCUUUUCUUUUUAAUUAAUUUUUUUAUGUAGUUUGUUGAUAUUAAUUUUUUUUUAUUUAGUUAUCAGACUUUCAUGACACGGAUCUUAGGUUUGACGGGUUAACCUGAUUAAUUUAAAUUUUUUUUCUUUUUCUUCAUUAGUUUUUUUCUUCUUAUAAGUUUUUUUUUUCUUUUAUUGUUUCUUUUUAUUUAAUAUUUUUUUUAUUUAAUUUAGUUCAUCAAUAUUAAAUUAUUUUCUAUUUGGUUAUCGACUGAUGCCUUUAGUUUUUCUUUUUUUUUUUUCUUUUUUUUUGUUGUUUUUAUGCCUUUAAUUGUGAACUGCACACUGUAGUCCACAGUGAAAAGGCUGGUGUCUUUUUUUUUUUUCCUUUUUAAUUAAUUUCUUUCGUUUACUUUAGUUUGUUAAUGUUCAAUUUUUUUCUAUUUAGUUAUCAAAUUUUCAUGACAUGGAUCCCGGGUUUGACAGGUUAGCCUAGUUAAUUUUGUGUUAACCCGUCAAUUUUUUUUUUCUAUUUAGUUAUCAAACUUUCACGACAUGAAUCCAAGGUUUGACGGGUUAACCUGGUUUAAAGGGUUAACCCAGUUAAUUCAUAUUUUUUUUCUUUUUCUUCAUUAAUUUUUUUCUUCCUUUUGGUUUUUUUUUCUUUUUAAUUAAUCUAUUUAAUUAUCACACUUUUAUGACACGACCUUGCAGCUAGACCCACAUCCAAGACUAUUGGGUCUGGUAUUACAGUCAAACCCACUUAAACUUGGGUCAUGCAAGUUUAAUAUUAUUAUUAAUAUUAUAAAUAUUACUCUUGAGUCAGGCGUUGCAGCCACACCCAAGACUCUUGGGUAUAGCUUUACAAAAAAACCUAAUAGUUUUAGAUCUUAACUUUUUUUGAUAUUUUUUAUACAAAAAUCAUUAACCCGUAGCAUCGCGCGGGUCACGCAACUAGUUAUAAAACAAACUUGGACUGAUUCCGUAAAAACUGUUAAGAAUGAAUUAAUUAAAAGGAUACUGAAUUAAAUGAUUUGAAAAAGAUAAAAUAAAAAUUAAUCUAAAUUUUGAUGGGAUGGAUGAAUGACGAAUCAAACGUUAUUAAUUCAUAUUAGUUUUUUAUACCUAACCUAGAUAAGGUAACAUGUCAAUCACGUCCUAGAUAGCUGGCCAGGCCCGACAAGUUUUAAUAAUUGUGAUUCAAUCAACAAAUAUUGAGGGUUGGCAAAACCUUGUAGUCGCUCAGCGAUGUGAGUU
rnacentral:lncRNA from 1 species